ensembl:lncRNA
CAAUAACACAAAACUGUUUCAAAAUGUAAAAAAAAAAGUAUAUUGUUCAUAAUGCUGUACAUCAGGUAACUCAAGGUUAAAUUAAUGUUGCUUUCUCAUUUUGCUAACCAUCAAACAAAAUCCAUACCAAAAUGGAACUUAGUUCUUUAUUGUUCUACAAGCAAGGGCAUAGACUGAUAAAAUCACAAAGUCACCAACAGAUUAUCUCUGAAGACCAUCACAUUUUCUAUUGACAGGAUCAAGCAUCAGGAUCGAUUAACUGUCCGCUGAACACCUGAGCCAACACUUUCCUCACGUAAUCUUAGAUGGGCUCAAUUAAACAUAAAAAGGAUCAUUGAUCAUGCAGUUUAUUGUAGCAACAGGACUUCUGGGGUUUGUGAUAUUUUAAGAACAGCUCUCAGCCAUGGUAUAUUGGCCUGAUAUCACACCCCUCCUUAUUGCCUUAUGCCUUAUUCUACUGUAUACUAUAAUAUACCACAAGAUGUACCCCAAAAGGAAACCAAAUAACUGAACAGAAAAACUGUAUGUACCCCAGGGAACACCUUGUUUUUCGUGUCGAGUGUCUGUCUAGGAUCUCCUCUGCCCCAGUUUAAUGGUCGUGGUAGCUGUGGUACCCUAAAGACCACACUUUGUUUGUGUCCCCCUAUUCUCCCAACCACCUAAUCUAGAUAAUCAGUCGCACCACAUUGUUUAGCUCCCGACCAGCAGAGCAUUAGACCCAGGAUACUGCUGCUGCCCGUGGUUCCCACAGUAAAAUCCCACAGUGGAUCAGUGUGGCUCUAAUGAACUGUCUGUACACAGUGUACGCCAUCAAAGCACAAGUGAACAAGAUGAGUUCAAAAUAAUUCGCUGAACUGUCUUGACGAAUCUCAAGCUCAACAUAAUGCAUUGAAAUUGGCAAAAGAACAGAAAAAACUCAAAGGAAUGUCAAUGGCUCGAGGUGUGACUUAAUGUAAAACCCAUACCAUUUCAGUCCUAUUGGACCAGUGCUUUCAAUAGAUAUUUCCAUUGUUCCACUAGGCUUCGUUGGAACUCAACACUUUUAGAAAACGUUAAUCCACGGUGACACCUAUGUCAGUGGAAUUAAUAAAAGAAGGUGAAACUAUUUACCCAAGGAAGUGGGGCUUCACGUGACGUGGACUCACUCCUCAGGAAUCAAAAGGGAAUCCCAAAUGGCAUCCUAUUCCCUAUGUAUAGUGCAUUACUGUUGACAAGGGCCUAUAGGUCUCUGGUGAAAAAACCAUGCAUUAUAAAGGGAAUAGUGUAGAAUUUGGGAAGCACACUAACAUAUUAUGGUUACCGUUUCAUAUAACAUUAAACUAAUCUAAUUUUGGUAAUUUACUGGAAUGGGUGGAGAGGGGGGCCAACAAUUCUAUGUCCAAGCACUUGUUAAUACAGAACUCUAUCCAGAGAACUACGAGACUAUGAGAAGGAAACCGCCACCAUGCAAUAAUAGGAUGACUGAGAUGUACAUCGUGGACCAGGACAGUUAACACCCCCUUGCCAGUCCGACCUGUGGAGACUUUAACUGGUGCGCUGUGUAGGGAACAGGGUGACCAAUGGGACGCAGGGUAUCGGUGCGUCGAGGCCACCGCCGAGACGGGAGUCUGACCGGGAUCCCAGAGGUUGAACAAACACCAUUCCCCCCACGGCUCAGAAAGUAAGGCGAUAUUUGCGAGCAUGCAACUCCCUGCUUUGAUCUUGAUUUACCAAGCAGGUCACAAACGGCAUGGCUUCUCCACUGGGGAGGGAGAUGCCAGGGUCCGAGUACUACAUCAAAAACUGCACCCUCUUCUCCGUGCAUGACCUUUGACCGGUGCCCAUGAUCAGAGCCCUAUGGGCCCUAGAUGGAGGUGCGGUAUAUAGGGAUUGGGGUGCCAUUUGGGACAGAACACACUGUCACAUUAUGUCUGAGAGGUAACAAGGCUGUACAUCUUUAACUCUCAACUUCUGUGAUCCUCUGGAUUUGUAUUUCAGUCAUUAAAAAGCUUGGAUGAUUUAACUGGAAUAAAAUGUAUUCCAGCACCACUAAAGUCAUCUGGCAUAUUCUUAUGUAGUCAAACUGUGUGGGACUUUCCACUUCAUUAGCAGUCAAAUAAUGACCCUGAAAUGAAUGCCUUUAACAUGUGGAUGGCCAUGAUGGUAUGGAUGUCAUAAAGGCACAGAUACAAGUAACCUUGUUCCAUUCCUUAUGUUUCAAACUAAUAUUAGAUUACUGAGAUUAUAAAUAAUAUAGAUUGUCUGAUAAUUUUAUGCAGACAAUAAGGAAUAUUUCCUCCAAAAAGCUAUAUAUAUAUUUUUUUAAUUAGUCCACUGAUAAUGCAGUUAUAAAAGUGUACAUAUCACCAGUCACUUUUUAAAAGUCAAUACAGGCACCCAAAGCAAAACAAAAAAUGUAGCGAAAAAACAUUUGUCACUGUACAGUGAGUCCUUAAAACAUCACUAAUGACAUCAACAUUGUUUGGAGAUCACAUUAGUGUUGAACAAAUCAUCAAGUACAAUCGCUGAAAGUGUUAAUAGGUCCAUGUCAGCAUCCACAUACUGUUCUGAGUCACUAACAUUCUUCAUGCUAUGCUUUCCUUUUGAAGCAUCAAUAUUCCACACAGAACCUCAUCUAGGCCUAUUUGUUGAAAAGAUCCGUGGUCCCCCGAGACACGAGUAGUCAUCCGUUUGGUAAAUUGUCUUUGACCACCAUAGAAACUUCCAGUAGCUAGUACUCUUGGUGGUUGGUUUCUUGUUGUUAUUGUUGCUUUUAUUGUUGUUAGGAUCAUCUGGGAGGGUGGCGGACGAUGAAGACAAUAUCCUGGUUGUCCGCAUGAUGGAGAGUCGUGCUGGUGACGUCCCGCUCCACUAACGCCUCUGCUGGAGUGAGGACAGAGAUGCUGGGCGGCCUCUGAGCCAAUGGGGAACAAGCCAGCUACCUCAAGGUGCCAAGUCAUUCCCAGCCAUUUCCUGCCUGUGACAUCAUUGUGUAUUCCCCAG